rnacentral:tRNA from 1 species
AGCCUCGUAGCUCAGUUGGUUAGAGCGUUGACUGUACUGGUGUGGGUUGCUGGUGUGAGUUCGUAUCCCACCGAGGCCA